rnacentral:tRNA from 1 species
GCCUAACUAGUUAAUUGAUAACAGUUUAUUGAGAAAAAAAGUUCCAGGCUCGUUGCCUGGGUUAGGCC